AAAACUCGGCCGGGGAGGGAAAGACCGCCCUCCCGGUAUUAAAUUAAGAAGAGACCGAAACAAUGGUCCCGGCCGAGAAAAUCCCCGAACCCUGGCCCCCAUCACUAACAGGUCAGCGUCAACUGUCCACUCUGCAACGGCUCAACCGGAGGGUGGCGCACAGGACAUCGUAACCCGAGAGCGGAUGGGGCACAGCGAGGGGAUUUUUUUAACCAAGCCUGAAAUUCGCUCCCGAGGGGAAUCGAACCCAGGACUUGGAGGUGCUACUCGGAAGUCCUUAACCACUAGGCUAGAGG
rnacentral:lncRNA from 1 species